AAAGAGAUUAAUUUGUUUGGCGUUACAGUAUGGAAGGAAGUAGAGAAGUGGUUCUGCAAUUAAAAGCGUGGAAGUCUUUAGUCUUUGCUUGGGCUGCCCAACGACGCAUAUUUUCACUAACUCUAAUUAUUAUGUGCAGCGUCCUUUUGUUACCUUUUGUGACAGCAGCAGCGAUACUGCCUGUAGUGGUUAUAUUAAAUGUCCUGGAUUAUUUAAAAGCAAAAGGACUUCUUUCAAUAAUCUACAUCAUUUUUGGGCACGGAGUUGUGUUGGGAUCCCUUACCCUCGUGUUAUUUUGUAUAUCCUUUACCUUAGCAGUUUGCUGUGGAUUAAUUCAGUCUUAUUACGUGUAAUGUAGGAUUU